rnacentral:sRNA from 1 species
ACCCUAGUUUGGGUAGUCAUAAAAUCACUGGACCCUGUUGGCUUGGUGGCCGAGCACAGAGCAGAAACGUCGAAUUCGAAUCCUUCCCUGCUUCGUUUCUGGUUUAGAGCGAGUCUUGGCAUCCCUCCCGUCAAACGUCGCCUGCUCGAAUCCCAAUCUCCGAAAAAUCCUACGUCUUUUGCAGAACAAACUGCAAACACUCUCCCCAACUUUCUGCCACCUGCAAUCCCAGGCCUCGCUCCUCCACCCUCUCAACUCUCAGACCUCAUGACCACCGCCUGGCUCGCCAUAAGCUUGAAUACCGUCAAGAGGCUGACCAUUGAGCCAAUAUUCCCCUAUCCGCUUGAUUGAUUCCGCUGCAGAUAGGGGACUUCUCUUUUCCGGCGACUUGUUUCUGUCGGAAUUAGAGCUUCCCUUUCCCACGUCCAUUAGCCCUCCACCACGCCGCCAGUUACGUCCCGCUACCGGACUCUCUGGAUUUUCUCAAUAAUCGAGUUCCUUUCGUCGUGGUUACAGCUACUACUGUUGAUCUUGUUGCCUCUUAAGCUGGCUUCCUGACCACCCCCCCUCCC